rnacentral:rRNA from 1 species
AUACGGAGGGGGCUAGCGUCGUUCGGAAUUACUGGGCGUAAAGCGCGCGUAGGCGGGCUGGUAAGUUGGGGGUGAAAUCCCAGGGCUCAACCCUGGAACUGCCCUCAAUACUGCCAGUCUUGAGUUCGAGAGAGGUAAGUGGAAUUCCUAGUGUAGAGGUGAAAUUCGUAGAUAUUAGGAAGAACACCAGUGGCGAAGGCGGCUCACUGGCUCGAUACUGACGCUGCGGUGCGAAAGCGUGGGGAGCAAACAGGAUUAGAAACCCCGGUAGUCC